CAGCCGCCGCGGGAAAACGUAGGGUGCAAGCGUUAAUCGGAAUUACUGGGCGUAAAGCGUGCGCAGGCGGUUAUAUAAGACAGAUGUGAAAUCCCCGGGCUCAACCUGGGAACUGCAUUUGUGACUGUAUAGCUAAAGUACGGCAGAGGGGGAUGGAAUUCCGCGUGUAGCAGUGAAAUGCGUAGAUAUGCGGAGGAACACCGAUGGCGAAGGCAAUCCCCUGGGCCUGUACUGACGCUCAUGCACGAAAGCGUGGGGAGCAAACAGGAUUAGAUACCCGUGUAGUCCCUGUCUCUUAUAA
rnacentral:rRNA from 1 species